rnacentral:lncRNA from 1 species
GUGCUUUGAGAUGAUGAAGUCAAUGCUUUAUUCAAGGUAAUGAAAACUGAUCUUGCAGAAUUUGGUUAGCUCCCUCGGGUCAUGAAAAUGCUAUCUUUUGGAUGUUGAAACUAACUUGGCAUAUACAUGUAGUUAAACACUAAACCAUGACGCUAAUUGCACGUAAUGUAGAAACUAAAGUAAAUUGGUUUGACUAGAGCUGUUAGAUGUUGAUGUGCCUCUGAUGUUGAGAUCACUCAACCAGAUCUUUGAUUAUGAGAAAAAAAACAUGGGAUUUAUAAAACAGAUAAGCAAAACAUCAUAUAGGUUCAAAAUCAUAUCACAAUAGAGCUUAAGUAGAUACGCAACCGGGAUCCUGAGUAUUGAUGUGGUGGAAAUGUGGAUGGUAUCUCUCGGGGAUCACCGAUAUUGAUUUGCUUAUAAAUGAGAUCGGUUAUAUGGAUGACACUUCUUUUUUUUUUUUUGGUAAAUAUCGCGGUGAAGUUCUACAAGGUGUGCCAAAUCCUACCCGCCUGCGGAGGAGGAACCGAGGGGGCGUGGGAGGAGUACAAAGUGGAUGCAUGGGGAAAACUACAAAGCGGAUGCAAGGUCGUGCAGUGCGGAUGCAAAUGCACCCUUGCAUAGCUGGAUACGCUAGAUUUAAGGGGAGGAAAAAGUCUACAUAACUCCCCAAACUAUCUAGGGUGGACUACUAACCCCCCGAACUAUUAAACCGGUUAUUCUACCCUCUGAACUUUCAAAACCGGUCAAAUAACCCCCUCGAGUGGUUUUGGAGGGUGGUUUUGUCUUUUUCUUUUUUAUUUAUUUUUGUUGAAUAUUUGAAAAAUCAUAAUAAAUCAUAAAAAAUCAUAAAAUGAAAAUUUUAAUUUUUUUGGACUCCUGAUGAGUUGAUCUACACAGUGAAUAUAUAAUAUGGUAUGCUUUAGUACAAAGUUUUUGCUGUACCUUUAAAUCUAUGUUUUUCUAUAAUUAAUUUGAAUAAUUCAUAUAUGCAGUUCCUGUGGUCCAAUUAUGGUAAAAUUUUUAUGGUGGGCUCAUUAUUAUAUGCUUGAACUAUGGUAAAAAUUUCAUACUCAUUGGAUCACAUAUAACUUAGUUAUAGAUAAAACAUAGAUUUAAUAAGAAUAAAGCUAAAUAAAUUGAUAACUAAGUUAUACGUGAUCCACUAGGUACGAAACUUUUACCAUAGUUCAAGCAUACAAUAAUGAGCUCACCAUAAAAAUUUCACCACAAUUGGAUCAUAGGAACUGCAUAUAUCAAUUAUUCGAUUUAAUUAAAUAAAAACAUAGAUUUAAAGCUACAUCAAAAACUUUAUACUAAAGUAUAUCAUAUUAUAUAUUCACUGUGUAGAUCUACUCAUCAGAAAUCCAACAAAAUUUAAAUUUUCAUUUUAUGAUUUUUCUAUAAUUUAUUAUGAUUUUUCAAAGAUUUAGCGGAAAUAAAUAAAAAAGAAAAAGACAAAACCACCAUCCAAAACCACUCUAGGGGGUUAUUUGACCGGUUUUGAAAGUUCAGGGGGUAGAAUAUCCGGUUUUAUAGUUCGGGGGGUGAAGUUGUCCACCCUUAAUAGUUUAGGGGGUUAUGUAGACUUUUUCCUUUAAGGGGAUAUAGGGGGAUAAAGGACCAGACUGAUUUCUUACUAGUGCUAGCCUACAUAAGGCCAUAGGCAGAUAACCAAACAUGCUCAACUUACGUUACAUGUGUCUGUGGAUGGAGUUUUGUAGGCAACGGACCCAUAUUGGGAUAUUAAAACGUGUAAAAACCCUUGUACUAGGAAGAGAUAUGUCAAGUAGUUUUUACCAAAUUUACUUUGAGCAUCUCCGAGAGUUUUGUAUAGUUUACUUGCUAAACAUCUAGCAAAUUAAUAGAAAAUAGUAACUUUAAAUUUUAUUUUUCUUUAACAGUCUCCUACAAUGGUGUCCUAAAUGAUUUUUGCAUUCGCAAUAUCAAACUAUUUCAAACUUUACAUUAGGAACCCUAAACUAUUUCUAGCCAACCAAACUUU